GGGGCCUUAGCUCAGUUGGGAGAGCGCUUGCAUGGCAUGCAAGAGGUCACGAGUUCGAGUCUCGUAGGCUCCA
rnacentral:tRNA from 1 species